CCCAGUGGUUGACUGUGCCAAAGCUGGAAGAAGCUGAUGAGAAGGGCAACCUUAUAGGAAGACAAGCAGUUUCAACUUACUUUGAUCCCUGUGGUCUCUCAGACAUUGUGCCACCAAUUAGGAAGCAUACCAGAGUCUUGCUGUCCUAUUCACUGAGUUCUCCAACUCAUCCUUGAAACCACGCCUCCUCUGAGCUUCAUGAGAAACUCACAGUACAGAGGCAGAGCACCACAUUCAGCUGAGAUCCAAGAGUCUUGAGGAGAGAAGUUUAAUGAAGAUCCAUUUAACAUCUACAGAUGCACAGUCUCUCACUAUCUCUACACAGGGCACUUGAGAAUGCCUUAGAUAAUUCUUGUGAAAGAGGAGACAGCCUUGUUGAGAACUGAGCACUGAAUUGAAUUAUGGGUAGAACAGUAUGUUGGAAACUAACAUGACUAUCCUCCAGAAGCCCCCAAAAGCAGCUGAAAGUGUCAGAUGAUGAUAUUUCCAGCCAAGCAAUGGACAGAAGAUAGUGACCCCAGUGGUUGAAUUUUCAAAAGCUGGAAAAAGCUUAUGAAGAAGGCAACCCUAUAGGAAGACCAGCAGUCUCAACUAUCCUGGACACAUGAGAUCUCUCAGACACUGUGCCACCAACCAGGCUGUAUAUACCAGCUGAUAUGAGGUUCCCAAGACAUAUACAGCAAGAAUUCCUGGUCUGCACUAAAAAACAUGUUCCUCCAGCUGAAGUCACUGCUCCUGCUUUAAGAUACAUUGUCCCUGUCACAGUUUUGGAUCAUUCAUCAUUUUCAAAGAAAAGGAUAUACUUCAGGAACCAGUAUCUGACAAAACGAGGAGUCUUGCUGUCCUGUUCACUGAGUUCUCCAACUCAUCCCUGAAACCACGCCUCCUCUCAGCUUCAUGAGAAACUCACAGUACAGAGGCAGAGCACCACAUUCAGCUGAUGGGUAUAGUCUCAGAGUUGAUGUCCAUGACCUUAGUCAAGAUGGGAAUAUGGAACCUGAAGAGACCAACUCCAGCAUCCAUACAGAACCUCCAGUGGAAGGAUGGGAACACCAACCUACCUAUAAAACUUUCAACACUAAAAUGGUCCAUCCUAAAACAAAUGUACAGACAUAUAUGGAACAGAGACUGAUGGAAUGGACAAGUGGCAAUGUAUCUCCCAUCCCCACCCUCAUCCCACAUACAUGUAGCUGAGGUCUUUCUUAUCUGGUCUCACUGGGAGAGGAUUUACAUAAUCUUGCAUAGAUUUAAUCUAUGGGGGUAGUUGUACCUGGGGUGGGGAGGACCCUCUCAGUUUUGAAGGGAAUGGGAUGGGUUAUAAACCCUGAUAUGGGGCACCAGGAGCUAGUCAGUAUUUGGGAUAUAAUAAAAUAAAUUAAUUUUAAAAAGUUGGAUUUUAUUUUAGCUUGGAGCUUAUAACUAUAGACAUAAUAGGAGGAUGGUGUCUGGAUAGGUACUUUACAGAAGUUGGAGGAGCCAGAGAUCUUAACUUGUCAAUGUUUUCUCUACUACUAUUACUUUAAAGUUUGUCUGUCAUUUUAAUGGUGUCUUUAUUAUUUUGGCUAAUGACUAUAAUGGCUUUAAACACUAAGUAGCUAAAAUGAUUUUAUUAAGUGAAUUUUUUAAAAGCAUGUUAUCAUACUGUAUCUUAUGAUAGCUAAGCCUUCAUAGUUUUAAUGGAGAAACAAAACAUAAUAAAAGCUACUUGAUACU
rnacentral:lncRNA from 1 species